AUACGUAGGGGGCGAGCGUUGUCCGGAAUGAUUGGGCGUAAAGGGCGCGUAGGCGGCCCGGUAAGUCUGGAGUGAAAGUCCUGUUUUUAAGAUGGGAAUUGCUUUGGAUACUGUCGGGCUUGAGUGCAGGAGAGGUAAGUGGAAUUCCCAGUGUAGCGGUGAAAUGCGUAGAGAUUGGGAGGAACACCAGUGGCGAAGGCGACUUACUGGACUGUAACUGACGCUGAGGCGCGAAAGUGUGGGGAGCAAACAGGAUUAGAUACCCUGGUAGUCCACACUAUAAACGAUGAAUGCUAGGUGUAGGGGGUAUCGACCCCUUCUGCGCCGCAGUCAACACAAUAAGCAUUCCGCCUGGGGAGUACGGCCGCAAGGUUGAAACUCAAAUGAAUUGACGGGG
rnacentral:rRNA from 1 species